AGAUUAGGCGAUUUUUGGGUUCUGGAUACUGAUAUAUGGCAAUGGUCAGAGUUGACAAGUUUUGGUGACUUACCUUCUGCAAGGGAUUUCGCAGCUGCUUCAGCCAUUGGAAACAGUAAAAUUGUUAUGUAUGGUGGCUGGGAUGGUAAAAAGUG